rnacentral:rRNA from 1 species
GACGAACCGUGCGAACGUUGUUCGGAUUCACUGGGCUUAAAGGGCGCGUAGGCGGGUGGACAAGUCAGGGGUGAAAUCUUUCGGCUUAACCGGAAAACAGCUUCUGAUACUGUUCGUCUAGAGGGAGGUAGGGGUGCGUGGAACUUCUGGUGGAGCGGUGAAAUGCGUAGAUAUCAGGAGGAACACCGGUGGCGAAGGCGGGUCUCUGGGCAGUAACUGACGCUGAGGAGCGAAAGCGUGGGGAGCGAACAGG